rnacentral:rRNA from 1 species
UACGAAGGUGGCAAGCAUUGUCCGGUCUUAUUGGGCGUAAAGAGUUCUGUAGGUGGAGUUAUAAGUUAUAUGUUAAAGGCUACGGCCCAACCGUAGUUUCGCGUGUAAUACUGUAAUUCUUGAGUAAUGUAGAGGUUAGCAGAACGUACGGUGUAGUAGUGAAAUGCGUUGAUAUCGUACGGAAUACCAAAGGCGUAGGCAGCUAACUGGACAUUUACUGACACUGAGAGACGAAAGCUUGGGGAGCAAAACGG